rnacentral:rRNA from 1 species
UACGUAGGGAGCAAGCGUUGUUCAGAUUUACUGGGCGUAAAGGGCGCGUAGGCGGCAUAUUAAGUCAUCUGUGAAAUCUCCGAGCUUAACUCGGAACGGUCAGCCGAUACUGCGGGGCUAGAGUGCAGAAGGGGCAACUGGAAUUCUCGGUGUAGCGGUGAAAUGCGUAGAUAUCGAGAGGAACACCUGCGGCGAAGGCGGGUUGCUGGGCUGACACUGACGCUGAUGCGCGAAAGCUAGGGAGCGAACGGGAUGAGAUAC